UACGGGGGGGGCAAGCGUUGUUCGGAAUUACUGGGCGUAAAGGGCUCGUAGGCGGCCAACUAAGUCAGACGUGAAAUCCCUCGGCUUAACCGGGGAACUGCGUCUGAUACUGGAUGGCUUGAGUGUGGGAGAGGGAUGCGGAAUUCCAGGUGUAGCGGUGAAAUGCGUAGAUAUCUGGAGGAACACCGGUGGCGAAGGCGGCAUCCUGGACCAACACUGACGCUGAGGAGCGAAAGCCUGGGGAGCAAACAGG
rnacentral:rRNA from 1 species